rnacentral:rRNA from 1 species
CACGUAGUUAGCCAUGGCUUUCUGGUUAGAUACCGUCAAGGGAUGAACAGUUACUCUCAUCCUUGUUCUUCUCUAACAACAGAGUUUUACGAUCCGAAAACCUUCUUCACUCACGCGGCGUUGCUCCGUCAGACUUUCGUCCAUUGCGGAAGAUUCCCUACUGCUGCCUCCCGUAGGAGUCUGGGCCGUGUCUCAGUCCCAGUGUGGCCGAUCACCCUCUCAGGUCGGCUACGCAUCAUCGUCUUGGUGAGCCAUUACCUCACCAACUAACUAAUGCGCCGCGGGUCCAUCUACAAGUGACAGCCGAAGCCGUCUUUCUUCCCAAUGCCAGGAGGCAUUAAGAUCUAUGCGGUAUUAGCAUCCGUUUCCGAAUGUUAUCCCCCGCUUAUAGGUAGGUUACCCACGUUGUUACUCACCCGUCCGCCACUCUUCUUUCUCGGUGCAAGCACCGAUAGGAAGCGUUCGACUUGCAUGUAUUAGGCACGCCGCCAGCGUCU